GCCUUCGUGGUGUAAUGGUCAGCACACUAAACAUUCUAAAGGUUCGAGGUUCGAGUCCCGGCGAGGACA
rnacentral:tRNA from 1 species